rnacentral:lncRNA from 1 species
AUGGCCGUUAGAUUCUGAGAAACCCGGGACACGUGUCAGCCGCCCUGCUCUUUCGCUAUUUUCGAGCUCGGCGCCCACCCACCCCGGCUGCGAGUCUGCGGCUGCGACCGCAACUAUAAUCCAUAACCGCAACCACUCCUCGGUAGUCGGCACGCGGAAGGCAGAACUAAUCGAGAGCUUGAAGGCCCUUGCCCACGGCCACCCUCCGCCGCGUUGGAGGGAGGAAACCAGUGGGCGUGCGGGGAGCCUGGCAGGAACCGGCAAAGGUACGGCGAGACUCGAUCAGUUCUGCAAACCUCCAAACCGAAUACUCCGUACUUGCUUUUGUGUGCAGUUUGAAUUCGAUCCCCUACUAUAUGCUCUCGUAUGUGCUGGGCGGGUGUGGAGGAACACUGGACUACUUCAAUUUGGUAUGGUGGAAGUAAUGGGGAUUUACGAAUAGUGCGGCCAUGGUGUUCGUUAGAAUGCACGUACAUUUUUCCAGCUAGUUAAAAGAAGUUCCUCCUGCACCUGUACUGUAAUCUAAAGUAUUUUAAGAACACAAUGUCAGAUUACGGCGCAUAUAGCCUAGUUCACAGUGAACUUUGAUUUUUUUUCCCGGGAAAAGUACAAGGUUAGCUCUUCAACGGCUGAGUGAGCGAUACCUGAGGCUGAAUCCCAAGUUACUUCAGCCAGGCUUCCCCGGCAGUUGGUUGUUGAUCUUUGAGCUUGAAAGGUGAACUUUGCUCAGCUUGGUACUAACUUUGAGCCACUUAAUGACCUAGUACUUUUGUCUCCCCUAUGAAUGAUUUCUGAACCAAUAUGAGUCAGUGAUGUCGCCUUGUUAUUUUGUGUGCAUCUACAGCAAAUAUCAUUGUUCUCACUGUCUGGUAGCUUGUCACCAUUUGUGUUCAAACUGUGAGACACUUGCAAUGGUUCUUGCUUCUCUAUAUCAUUGAUAUUUUGAUCUCUUUGUUCUCCUUGUGAAUCUCCACUUUCCCCUCGUUUCUCAUGUCCACAUUCAUUUUGGUUAUCUCCUCUGCUCGCUGCAUUUUUCUGAUAUUUUUUGUAGUGGUUCAUCAGCACGGCUACAAAAAGGGAACAUGCUGUCACAAUUCCAGUUAGGAGGAACAAUCCCCCAAAACUUUGAAAAGUGAUAGCAUCUGAACCAUCAAUUGUGUCAUCAUUUUGAUGGCUAUUAUGAUCUACCCAUUUUUUUUCGAUUUGGAUGAUAGUAUCUCCUCCUGUUAUGCUGAGUAUUGCCCUUGAUAUUUCAGCACGCAGCGGAGAAUUCUUGGGAAGCGCCUAAUAAAAAAUAGAUAAGUGUUAUAAGCUGCAUAUGCCAAUAUAUAAGAAUUCCUCAUCGUGAUAUCUGAAUCAGUAAAAGGCUGGAUUUUUUUUUUCCAAUGGGCUAAACAUUUUUUUGCUGAAAUGAUAUAACGGAAGGUGGUCGGUGAUGGUGUUAUUUAGCAGUCCAAUACAUUCAGAUAAUCAUAUCAAAAGUUGCUUGAAUCCAGUAAACUGACCAUAGGGCUUGCUUGCAGGCUUAGUUUGUUGUUGUCGUGGUGCACAUAAUGUAAUUAUUUUAGUAGUUGUUGUAAAAAGGAAGUCAUGAAAAGUUUUUCAUAUAUCAUUUAGAGUUAGAUGAAGUAUUAUUGAUGGUUGACCUCCCAUAUGACAUCUCAUGUGUUCACGAAUGCAAAUUACGCAAUUUGAUUUAGAAAAAACAGCUAGUCAAAAUCUCAGAUAUCUAAAAGUAAUACAACCAACCGAACCAACCGAGAUUAUUUAAUAUAAUCAACUGCAAUGCCAAACGGAGCUUCAGUACGAUCAGUUGCAAAUAUUAGCGCAUUUACAGUCUCUGGUAGUAAAUGUAUGGAUCUAUGUUGUUACGUGAUGGUUGCUCCUAGCCUCUUAAUUGUAUGUCGCGGUUUAUGGUACUUAAGCUUUUAUUCAGUAUGAUCAGUUGCAAAUAUUAGCUCAUUUACAGUUUCUGAUAGUAAAUGUACGGAUCUAUGUUGUUACGUGAUGGUUGCUCCUAGCCUCUUACUUGUAUUUUGUGGUUUAUGGUAGUUAAAGUAGUUAAACUUACAAAAGUGGAUACUGUGUUCAUUUUGCAAUUUAUUUCCUGGUCUGGCAUUGCUACAAUAGCUAGCUUGCAACAAUUUCUUGUCAUCAGUCCUUUAUUUUUGCUAUUAGAUAGCCACACUAUCCAUUUUCUUUUAGUUUUGUAACAUGUAACUAUACGUUUCAAGUUUUUUAAGUAGCAAUCUUAUUGUUGACAUGGAUGUAGAAUUGAAGCAAAGCCAUGAGCAUAACUUUUGCAUGACUCUAACAAACUUCGAAGGAAGAUAAGAAAAAAUUGUGUGUAAUUUUUCAAGAGAGUAAAGUUAAACGCCUUGGUGAGUGUAGUUUUAAACUUACAAAUGCAAAACCCGCACUCUUGUAAAUAGGCCCCACCAUUGUGUAACCUUUGUUGUACUUUGCGAGAAAAUGUUUGAUGUAUGGGGCUUCAAGUACAAGCGCAGCAAUGCCACCAUUUUUGCUUCCUUUAGAAAGAGCACCAUAGAGAUCGUCAGGUGUAUCAUAGGCCCUGAUCUUUGAUCUGUCAAAACCAAUAUCCAGCAGUAGACCCCCUACAUAGGACCCAUUGUGGAACCCUACAUAUUCUCCUUUUUUCUGGAGUUCAUGAACAUCAGUCACUGUCGGUGAAAGUUGAUGGACAGUAAGCAUUGAUGCAAAGCUUGCUGUAUAACUUGAUGUAAGUACAAGAAGAACAAACAUCCAUACACGUAUAACAAUUCUUGAUAGAACACGUUCCAGCUUCUCCUCUACAUAAAUAACAAAUAACAAUAAAGAUAUUAUUAAGAUACUAAAGAAAUUUGAAAGCUGAGAUAAUGCAAUGCAUGCUAUUCAACUGAUGCAAACAGAGCACAAUGUCAAUAUAUAUUUUCUUUUAAGUGAAGUGCAAUUAUGAUGAACAGGCGCGUGUUUUUUUCAGCAGAUUCAGCUAACAUUAUUUCAUUUCCCCCUUCUGAUUCUUCAUAUUUGUUUGUUAAGAAUUGUUAAUUGGGCAGAUCUAAGUUCUUAUUUUGGAAUUUUAAAAUACAUUUAACUAAAAUAGAGACCUAGAGAUGUCUUUUUCUUAAAUAAAAUUUAUAGAGGUGCAGUUUAGUCAGAUCAAUGUAGUAAUCUUUCUUGCAGAAUCUUUCGAUGAUGCUUUUUAAUUUGAUGUAGUGCAACAUAUAUUUGUUCUAUGCAACUGAAAUACUGUCAAAAUUGUAAUGUUUACUAACUCUCUUCAGAAAUGGAGAAAAACAUUGUAAUCCCCAGUUGUUUGAGUGAAAAGGGCCCAUGUAUAUGUUCAUUGCCAUUUAGAUACUCCAGAAACCAGACAACAACUCCUGUGUACAUAAAGAAUAUGAUGCCGCCAAACCACAUUCCAGCACUCAAUGGUUUCAAAAAAAUCCACAUAUUCUUGAUCAUGCUUUCCUUGACUGGAACAAUCAUCCCUACUCCAGAUUCUGUGUAUGGUACAGUAAAGUCGACAUACAAUGAUCUAUUGUAUGUUAUAGUAGUAUCUGCAACUGCUAUGUCAUAUUUCUGCAAUGGCAGUAGUCAGCUUUAUAUAUUUCAUAUUUGAGAAAUAAAAAAAGGAAUAACUACUUUUUAAGAUUGACUGAACACUAGAAUCUCAAUUGUUCAACGAAAGGACAUAUUUAACAUGCAAUAAACUUUUGAUUUGAUUAGAAAAAUAUACAUUGAGCCUUUCUGGCAGACAUCCUUUUGUAUAAAGAUAAUAAAGUUGCUUGCUUUCAGUUGAAAGCAGUAUAUAUAACACUGGAUGGUAAUGUUUGAGCUACUAAGAGUUUUUUUCUUGACAGUGCAGCUUUUAGUUUCUGCACAUGGCAGAUUGAGAUAUUGGAAGCUAUAUGUUUGAUAAAGUAUGUCUUACCUGAAGAUAAACUUGGUUUACGAAAUCAUCGUAGCUCCCCGUACUUGGUGGAUCAGCUGAGUCAAAUGCUUCAUAGUCAUAAGUAAGUGCAAAAGGUAGCCUCUUUACUGCCUCCUCAAAUAUGUCAACUGUAAGGCCACUCGCUUUUGUUGCAUCUGUGACAGGAUCUUUGAAUGUCUUUAUUAACUCUUGAUAGAUGCUCGUGCGCACGCCGACUCUAAGCUUCUUACCUACUGUAGGAAUUUCCCAGCCUCUUGGUGUUUCGGUUGACUCUCCUGGCCAGAUUACUGGAUUUAGAUCAAUCAAUGAGGCUGGUUCUGUUAUUUUCAUGCCAGUUUGAUUGAACUGCCGUGAAAGUCCACCAUUCACAGUCCAAAAACCGAUUUCUCUCCAACCUCUCCCAACCACGUUUAUUAUUUGGAACACAGAAACUUUAAGCUGUCUGUUUGUAAGGUCAAAGUCUCCACUUAUACCUCUAAACUUAUUUUGUACAAUUGCUGUUAAGAUAUCAGGGCCAUUUGUUGAAAUAACCAUGGAUUCCAAGCAUGUGGAGUUUUUAAUGGACUGGGGUUGCUGAUUUGUGGCACUGGAGAUCCCAGCCUUUUCCGCUGCCUGUGCUAAUGCCCUUAUCGUAUCAUAGCCCCAUAGUCCAACAAUGCUUAAUUUAUUAAAGGGUGAUUCAUCUGGGUUAUCCCGUUGGUACAUUCUGUUCCACUUUAUGGAGAAGUUAUCAAGUUCGUUUGAUUUGGGGAAAUGAUACCUUACUCCUAGCACACCAUUCAUUGCCUCAAUGACACUUGGGUUGAGUGAGUCGAUGAUGUUUGAUAUUCCAUCUGUGGUAAUCCACACAAAUCCUUUGUUCAUCAUCCCUACCUCUUUGGCUUUUGUAAAAAGAAGAGAAGUCAUAGUGGGCGACAUAUGAACAAUAAAUACUCUUGUUUGCAUUGCCUUCAACUUAUAGAGUUCUUGGGUAAUGAUUUCACUUGUUGCUGAUGAAGGGACGACACUGCGAUACGGAACACGGGCAUCAAUUUCUUGGAGUGCAUCAACGAGGGAUGGUAGAAUGCCUCUCCCAUAGUCAGUAUCAUCAUAUACUGGCACCACUUCUCUCCAUCCAUAGGCUUUUAUAAGCAAGGCGAUGCUGUUGACCUGAGCUGAGUCAUUCAAUGUUGCACGCACAAAAUAUGGCAUACUAUCUGAAGUGAGAGAGGGGCUUGUUGCUGUGAAGGAUACUGUGGGGACUUGGGUUAUAUUUCCGAUAUUGGAUAUGAAUACAGCUUCUGAUGAUUUCUGGGGACCAAUGAUGGCUUGCACUUUGUGAUUCUCCAGUAAUUCAAUAGCUUUUGAAAUUGCACAAGAAAACUUCAGUCAGAUAGUACGGGCGUUAUAGUGUAGAAACAUAAUCAUAGCAGGAAUCAAAAGGGGUCAGAGUACACUUUUGUGUGUUUGCGUUGUUUGCGUUUUCUCUUGGGUCGGUCAUUUGGUUUCUUUUUGUGUAAGUCUUGUACUCCCUCCGUCCGAUAUUAAGUGACUCAAAUUUGCCUAAAUAUACAUAUCUAUGCCUAAAAAGUGUCUAGAUACAUGUAACCGAAAGUCAUUUAAUAUGGGACGGAGGGAGUACAUCUUGUAACUGCAACUGCUUCUCAUACCUAUAAAAAAACUGCUUUUCAUAAAUGAUGUUCCGAUUUUGUCUGCGUGUUCUCUCUUUUUUAUCCAUAAUACUAUCAAAAGGGAUCUGAUUUGAUAUGACCAUUUGGACAACUACGUCAGUUUGUAUGUAUGAUUUGCAAUUGGAAACAAACAUACUCCCUCCGUCUCAUAUUAAGUGACUUGAAUUUACCAAAUAUGUAUGUAUCUAUGCCUAAAAAACGUCUAGAUACAUGUAAUAAAAGGUCACUUAAUAUAGGACGGAGGGAGUAUUUUUUUUCUGCAUCUGUGAUUUCCAUAGAUCCUGCUUUGGCCUAAUACCAUUCGCUUUUUCCAACUAUAAGAUCAGGCGCUAAUCUAUGUGUGCCUCUAGUUUAAGGGGUGAAAUGCUGAAUACGAUUUUUUAAUAUGAUUUUACAAAUAGGAAGAAACAAAAAAAGGUUCUUUUUUCAUACUCAAGAAUAAAUACCUGCUGAUGCAGCCUGAACAUCACUGCCCAUGGAAUCCCUAAUGUGGAGAACAAGCUUUGUGCUGUAGUUUGGGUGGACAGAGUAGA